UGGUGGAAGCCUUGCUGGUUGUCGUCGUGAUAGGCGACGACUGGCAGUGAGCGGCAGACGUGGUGGAGCAGGUGUGUGCAUGUGGACCAGCUACUCCCUAUCGUCGCAGGUCUAGGCUGGAGCGUGCUUGGCCUAAUGCGUUGCCAGCCGCGUUAGUUGAGCGAGUAUCGAAAGAAAGUCGGUGGUCUGUCCCCUGCCCAAGAUGUUGAGAGAUGGAAGUAGAAUGGUCUAGACUCUGAUGAUCUGCCGGCUGGGCAGGAGGAGUGUUCUGCCGAAACCCCCUAACAAAGGAAGGUUGUUGUGAAGUCGUC
rnacentral:lncRNA from 1 species